AUUGAACGCUGGCGGCAGGCCUAACACAUGCAAGUCGAGCGGAGCGGCUGACGGGUGAGUAAUGCAUAGGCAUCUUCCUGGUUGUGGGGGAUAACGUCCGCCAACGGGCGCUAAUUCCGCCUACUUUCAGAUGCGCCUUGGUGGGAUUAGAUCGUUGGUGGGGUAAGGGCCUACCAAGGCGACGCUCCGUACCUGGUCUGAGAGGAUGAUCAGUCACACUGGAACUGAGACACGGUCCAGACUCCUACGGGAGGCAGCAGUGGGGAAUAUUGGACAAUGGGCGAAAGCCGGAUCCAGCCAUGCCGCGUGUGUGAAGAAGGUCUUCGGUUUGUAAAGCACUUUAAGUUGGGAGGCGUUACCAACAGAAUAAGCAACGGCUAACUUCGUGCCAGCAGCCGCGGUAAUUC
rnacentral:rRNA from 1 species